rnacentral:rRNA from 1 species
AGUGAACGCUGGCGGCGUGCCUAACACAUGCAAGUCGAACGAGAACGGAAUAUAGCUUGCUAUAUUUGUCAACUAAGUGGCGCACGGGUGAGUAAUGUAUAGAUAACCUGCCCUUAAGAAAGGAAUAACAGUUGGAAACGACUGCUAAUGCCCUAUAUGCCUUUAAUACAUAAGUAUGCAAGGGAAACGCUUUAGUGCUUAAGGAUGGGUCUGUAUGGUAUCAGCUUGUUGGUGAGGUAAUGGCUCACCAAGGCUAUGACGCCUAACUGGUUUGAGAGGAUGAUCAGUCACUGGAACUGAGACACGGUCCAGACUCCUACGGGAGGCAGCAGUGGGGAAUAUUGCACAAUGGACGAAAGUUUGAUGCAGCAACGCCGCGUGGAGGAUGACACAUUUCGGUGCGUAAACUCCUUUUAUAUAGGAAGAUAAUGACGGUACUAUAUGAAUAAGCACCGGCUAACUCCGUGCCAGCCGCCGCGGUAA